GCUCGCAUUACAUGGUGGAACUCAACAUCUUCAGUCUUAUAACUUGAACCUUUUUGUUUCAAUCUUGUCUCUGCUGGAACACAUAUUGAAGCUACAAGAAGAAAACUACUCAAAAUCGCUCCCAGCAAUAUAAAACACCACCUCUUCGACCUGAUCCCAGCCAUGAGAUUGGUUAGCUCCCUCCUCUAUCUUCCUAAUAGCAUCAAAUUUGACAAACUCUCAAACCCAAAACUACAACCCAAGCAUUAUCGCUUGGAUCUUACACAUUUUGCGAGUAGAUUGAAAGCAGAAGCUACUCUCACCAACUCAGUAGGUUGAAACGUAAGUGGCAACCAGGGAAUAACCAGACUUCAUCAAAAUCAGACACUUUUUUUGUGAUCACAUCCUAGGUUGAAGUCUAUAAACUCCAGCACCACAAUCAACCAG
rnacentral:misc_RNA from 1 species